GUUUUUUUACCUCUCAGGUUACAAUGAGAUGUGGGCAUACGAUCAUCAAAGCGUGUUUGUUUCAUCGUACAAAAAAAAUCUGUUUUGAAGCUCACGAAAAACAGAGGUUGCUCGCUCUAAUGUCAUUAUCGUGCAAGUUAUCGUCUCUGGUGGCUCUCUAAAUCGACAUCGAUGUCGAGAUUGCAAAGUCUAUCGUGAUAAAAUUAUCUGCUUCGAUUGCAGUACGAAGGAUCCGACUUGGGUAUAUAGGUGUUUUACCUGGAGGAAAGGUAAUUCCAACGAAUAGAUAGACAAGAAGAGCACUGAGUAAUAUAAACAAGAACAUCAUCGGAGCUCCUGUUUAUCCUUCUGCUGUCAACAAGAGACCAUUCACCAAGAAGAAUGGGAUAUGUAACAAGAAGAUUCCACUCCAUUGCAUCGUCCGGUUACUAGGAAAUUUGCUGCUCAGUUAGCUGAGAACAAUCCCCAAAUUCACAAGGAGGAAACCAAGAAACCAGACUUGAUUUCGAACGAAACAUUAGAUAGAAUCAUAACAGAUGUGGAAGAAGGAGACUUUAAUGAACCAAUGUUUGUUCAACACACUGAAGCCAUGCUUGAAGAGAUUGACCGAAUGGAAGGAAUUGAAAUGGAAGAUUCAAAUGAUAUUGAUGUUGAAGUAGAAGAGUCUGUGAUGGAUAUAGACAGCUGUGACAAGAACAAUCCUC